CAGCAGCCGCGGGAAUACGAAGGGGGCUAGCGUUGCUCGGAAUCACUGGGCGUAAAGGGUGCGUAGGCGGGUCUUUAAGUCAGGGGUGAAAUCCUGGAGCUCAACUCCAGAACUGCCUUUGAUACUGAAGAUCUUGAGUUCGGGAGAGGUGAGUGGAACUGCGAGUGUAGAGGUGAAAUUCGUAGAUGUUCGCAAGAACACCAGUGGCGAAGGCGGCUCACCGGCCCGAUACUGACGCUGAGACGAAAGCUAGGGGAGCAAAUGGGAUUAGAUACCCGCGUAGUCCCUGUCUCUUAUACAC
rnacentral:rRNA from 1 species